rnacentral:lncRNA from 1 species
UAAAGACUUUUUUCUUUUUCUUUUCAUUUGGUUUUCCAUUUAGGGUUUACAAUUAUGUUAUUGUUAUUUUCGAAUGCGUAUUGUUUGCUGGUAGUUUAUGGAACGCGCACCUAUAAUUUAUAUAAUUUAAAGGAUUACAUAUAAAUAUACUAUAAAACACUAUAUAUAUAUAAAUAAUAUGUAUCUAUAGGUCCAUAAUAAAAUAUUUACACAUAUGCUUCAUGGACAAAGUAUUUACAACACAAUUUAUCUCCACCACUUAAGCAUCGUACAAAUGAUCAUCGUUAUUUGGUUUCAUCUGCUCCUGAGGGUUGAAGUAGCACUCGCCGCCGGAAUCCAGGACUUGGUCGUUAAGAAAUCCUGCGAUUGUCUCCUGAAUUCCUUUUCCUUUUAGGCGCACCGCAUCCAACACCUGCU